rnacentral:rRNA from 1 species
CGGACGGGUGAGUAACGCGUGAGAAUCUGCCCUCAGGAGGGGGAUAACAGCUGGAAACGGCUGCUAAUACCCCAUAUACCGCGAGGUGAAAUGAAUUUCGCCUGAGGAUGAGCUCGCGUCUGAUUAGCUAGUUGGUGUAGGUAAUGGCUCACCAAGGCAUCGAUCAGUAGCUGGUCUGAGAGGAUGAUCAGCCACACUGGGACUGAGACACGGCCCAGACUCCUACGGGAGGCAGCAGUGGGGAAUUUUCCGCAAUGGGCGAAAGCCUGACGGAGCAACGCCGCGUGAGGGAUGAAGGCCUCUGGGCUGUAAACCUCUUUUAUCAAGGAAGAAGAUCUGACGGUACUUGAUGAAUAAGCCACGGCUAAUUCCGUGCCAGCAGCCGCGGUAAUACGGGAGUGGCAAGCGUUAUCCGGAAUUAUUGGGCGUAAAGCGUCCGCAGGCGGCCCUUCAAGUCUGCUGUUAAAAAGUGGAGCUUAACUCCAUCAUGGCAGUGGAAACUGAGGGGCUUGAGUGUGGUAGGGGCAGAGGGAAUUCCCGGUGUAGCGGUGAAAUGCGUAGAUAUCGGGAAGAACACCAGUGGCGAAGGCGCUCUGCUGGGCCAUCACUGACGCUCAUGGACGAAAGCCAGGGGAGCGAAAGGGAUUAGAUACCCCUGUAGUCCUGGCCGUAAACGAUGAACACUAGGUGUCGGGGGAAUCGACCCCCUCGGUGUCGUAGCCAACGCGUUAAGUGUUCCGCCUGGAGAGUACGCACGCAAGUGUGAAACUCACAGGAAUUGACGGGGGCCCCCACAAGUGGUGGAGUAUGUGGUUUAUUUUGAUGCCACGCGAACACCUUACCAGGGCUUGACUUCCCCCGAAUCUUGACGAAAGUCGAGAGUGCCUUCGGCAGCGGGGAGACUCGUGGCGCAUGGCUGUCCUCUACCUCGUGUCGUGAGAAUGUUGGGUUAAGUCCUGACAACGAGCGCAACCCACGUCCUUAUGUUGCCUUGAUCCAGUGGGCACU